UAGGGAAUAUUGCACAAUGGACGAAAGUCUGAUGCAGCAACGCCGCGUGUGCGAUGAAGGCCUUCGGGUUGUAAAGCACUUUUAUGUGGGAAGAGCAAGGACUGUACCACAUGAAUAAGGAUCGGCUAACUACGUGCCAGCAGCCGCGGUAACACGUAGGAUCCAAGCGUUAUCCGGAUUUACUGGGCGUAAAGCGUGUGUAGGUGGUUUGUUAAGUUGGGUGUUAAAUCUCUCGGCUCAACUGGGAGUUGUCGCUCAAUACUAGCAGACUGGAGGACGGUAGAGGAAGGUGGAAUUCCGGGUGUAGUGGUGAAAUGCGUAGAUAUCCGGAGGAACACCAGUGGCGAAGGCGGCCUUCUGGACCGUUCCUGACACUCAGACACGAAAGCUAGGGUAGCAAACG
rnacentral:rRNA from 1 species